rnacentral:ncRNA from 1 species
AAUGGGUUCGCCCCGAGAUAGGGAUGUGGCUCCGUAGAGCAGUGCGGUCUUGCGCUGUCCGGUGCGCUCGCGUCGGCCUUGAAAAUCCGAGUGAGGGAGUGUGAUUUUCGUGCCGGACCGUACCCACAUCCGCAGCAGGUCUCAAGGUGAACAGCCUCUAGUCGAUGGACCAAUGUAGGUAAGGGAAGUCGGCAAAACGGAUCCGUAACCUUGGGAUAAGGAUUGGCUCUGAGGACUGAGCCGGUCGGGCUGGGGACCUGAAGCAGGAACGGCACUGCACCGGGACUGGGCGGGGCUCGCCGUUCACGCGGCGCGGCCAAGCCCGGACCAGCGUCGGGACCUUCCUGUGGAAAGCCUCAGCUGCGCGGCGUCUGAGGGCUUCGUGCCCAAAGUGCUAUGCUUCGGCCGGCAAAAAACAGUCAACUCAGAACUGGCACGGACCGGGGGAAUCCGACUGUCUAAUUAAAACAAAGCAUUGCGAUGGCCGCUGGUCGGUGUUGACGCACUGUGAUUUCUGCCCAGUGCUCUGAAUGUCAACGUGAAGAGAUUCAUCAAAGCGCGGGUAAACGGCGGGAGUAACUAUGACUCUCUGCGCAGCUACUGGAGAGACCAGCUGCUGCAGAUGGUGGACACGAGAGGGUUGAGGGAGGCACGGACAUGUGCUGCUGCGGCCUUCAUCCGGAACCCACCGCACUUUCUGAAUGGACGGGAGUAUGUCGACCUAAUCAAACUUAGGGCCCACGCGCUUCCGUCCAAGACGAGGUGCGCCAGGGGAAGGGCGAAGGACACCCGCUGCAGGGCUGGCUGUGCCUUCCCUGAGACACACGCACAUAUUAUCCAGGUGUGUCCUCGGUCGUAUGCGCCGCGCCUGGAAAGACAUAAUUGUGUGGCAUCCUGGAUUGCGGAGAAGAUGAGAAAUGAUGGCUGCACGGUGUCCGAGGAGCCCAGAAUUAAAGUAAAAGACGAAAUCAGGUACCCAGAUUUAAUUUGUGUAAAGGGUGAGAGGGCAUGGAUUCUAGAUGUUCAAAUAGUCGGGGAAUACAAAAGCCUUAACUCACUUAAUGAGGACAAGAUUAGGAAGUAUUCUGCUCCGGACUUUGUGGACGCAGUAAGGUCCAAGUUCUCGGUAACCACUCUCGCCGUGCACGCCAUAACAGCCACUGAGAGAGGGCUCGUUUGCCCAAGAUCAGCUGAGGCUUUGGGCUUGCUGGGC